UCCGGCUUAUCACCGGCAGUCCCCUUAGAGUGCCCAACUAAAUGAUGGCAACUAAGGGCGAGGGUUGCGCUCGUUGCGGGACUUAACCCAACAUCUCACGACACGAGCUGAUGACAGCCAUGCAGCACCUUCUCACUCGCUCCCCAGAAGGGCACCCCUAUAUCUCUACAAGGUUCGAGUGGAUUUAACCCAGGUAAGGUUCUGCGCGUUGCGUCGAAUUGAACCACAUGCUCCACCGCUUGUGCGGGCCCCCGUCAAUCCCUUUGAGUUUCAUUCUUGCGAACGUACUCCCCAGGUGGGAUACUUAUCACUUUCGCUUAGCCACUGAGAUUGCUCCCAACAGCUAGUAUCCAUCGUUUACGGCGUGGACUAC
rnacentral:misc_RNA from 1 species